UGCAUCAUAUUGAACAAACAGAAGCCUGGACUAACCCGAUUUGAAUUUUAAACUGUAUCACAGCCUCACGUGACACAGAUUUCUGAUUGGUUGAUCACAGUGGGAGGGAAAACUCUGUGGUUGACGUCACCAACGGGCCGGAAUCUGCAAGCGGGAGAAGUGCAGAGAACGAGAGACUUUUGACGAGCGUUUUUGUCGUAUUUUUUCUGUGUUUUAACGAUCCGUGGGAUGAAUCUCCAACAUUUUUUUGCUUGUCUGGAAAAGAUUCAAGUAAAAUCUUUGAAGUUUGCACGGUGAUCUAAAUUCUACACGUGAAAAUGAGUGAAUCAGAACCCAUGUUCCUCCACACUGCCAUUGUGGAGGUCCUACCAGAGCCACAAAAGACAUCCUGGAAGAACACUUGCAGUCCAUUGGAAUAAAUGGAGUUGUAUGAGGAUCUACGAUUCAUAGAAGAGGCCGACUUGCUGCCAGCUUUGAGACCCGUUCAAGCCCGGAAACGUCUUGCUUUCUGGAAAUUGAAAUACCAAACGCCAGAGAACAGCACAUCGUCAUCUGUUGAGACCUCACCAGCACAAUCAUCAUCACUUUUGUUAUAGUCACAGAGAAGUUCAUCAUCCACAUCUUCCAGAACCCGAGGACUGUACAUACAUUGACUGGAAGGCCAGCUUUGAAAUUCCAUGGAGAGGAUGCCAUGUUCUUGUAGAAGAUGCAGACGAGGUCCAGCUGCAGCAGGUGCCGUUGACUCCAACUGUUAUUGUAUGUGGACAGUCUUGCUUUUCCCCAAGGAGGUUCAUGCUGAGUUUGGACCGCUCCAUCGUACACAACAACAUUGCAGCACUGUGCCUGAUGUUCAGAAGCUACUUCUGCUUUAACAGUCAUUAUCCAACUGAGCUGGCUUCAACCCUGGAGUUUCUGCAAAGAUACAUAUUUAUGAGUGCUGUCAUGCGAUUCAUUUUUGGGUGUGAUUAGUUAAUCAUGACCUGCAGUUAAUUAUUCUCAUUAAUCUUGUAUUAAUCUAACUCUGGGCUGCUUAUCCCUGGUCCUUGAGAUCUACCAGCCUGCCUGUUUUCCAACUCUCCCUGAAUUGCUUUCUGCUGAUUAGCUGGUACCGGUUGUGUUCAUCCAGUCAGAAUGUGGAGACGUCUGGUUGAGCUGAUCAACAGCUAGCAGGGCUUGGAGAUCUGGAAAACAGUCAGGGUGAUGGA